rnacentral:rRNA from 1 species
CACUAUCGUUAACUGAAUACAUAGGUUAACGAGGCGAACCGGGGGAACUGAAACAUCUAAGUACCCCGAGGAAAAGAAAUCAACCGAGAUUCCCCCAGUAGCGGCGAGCGAACGGGGAGCAGCCCAGAGUCUGAAUCAGCUUGUGUGUUAGUGGAACGGUCUGGAAAGUCCGACGGUACAGGGUGAUAGUCCCGUACACCAAAAUGCACAGGCUGUGAACUCGAAGAGUAGGGCGGGACACGUGGUAUCCUGUCUGAAUAUGGGGGGACCAUCCUCCAAGGCUAAAUACUCCUGACUGACCGAUAGUGAACCAGUACCGUGAGGGAAAGGCGAAAAGAACCCCGGCGAGGGGAGUGAAAAAGAACCUGAAACCGUGUACGUACAAGCAGUGGGAGCACCUUCGGGUGUGACUGCGUACCUUUUGUAUAAUGGGUCAGCGACUUAUAUUCUGUAGCAAGGUUAACCGUAUAGGGGAGCCGCAGGGAAACCGAGUCUUAACUGGGCGUUAAGUUGCAGGGUAUAGACCCGAAACCCGGUGAUCUAGCCAUGGGCAGGUUGAAGGUUGGGUAACACUAACUGGAGGACCGAACCGACUAAUGUUGAAAAAUUAGCGGAUGACUUGUGGCUGGGGGUGAAAGGCCAAUCAAACCGGGAGAUAGCUGGUUCUCCCCGAAAGCUAUUUAGGUAGCGCCUCGUGAAUUCAUCUUCGGGGGUAGAGCACUGUUUCGGCUAGGGGGUCAUCCCGACUUACCAACCCGAUGCAAACUACGAAUACCGAAGAAUGUUAUCACGGGAGACACACGGCGGGUGCUAACGUCCGUCGUGAAGAGGGAAACAACCCAGACCGCCAGCUAAGGUCCCAAAGUCAUGGUUAAGUGGGAAACGAUGUGGGAAGGCACAGACAGCCAGGAUGUUGGCUUAGAAGCAGCCAUCAUUUAAAGAAAGCGUAAUAGCUCACUGGUCGAGUCGGCCUGCGCGGAAGAUGUAACGGGGCUAAACCAUGCACCGAAGCUGCGGCAGCGAC